rnacentral:rRNA from 1 species
UACGUAGGGGGCAAGCGUUGUCCGGAUUUACUGGGCGUAAAGAGCGUGUAGGCGGCCAAGCAGGUCCGUUGUGAAAACUGGAGGCUUAACCUCCAGACGUCGACGGAAACCGCGUGGCUAGAGUCCGGAAGAGGAGAGUGGAAUUCCUGGUGUAGCGGUGAAAUGCGCAGAUAUCAGGAAGAACACCAAUGGCGAAGGCAGCUCUCUGGGACGGUACUGACGCUGAGACGCGAAAGCCAGGGGAGCAAACGGG